AUAACAGUUGGAAACGACUGCUAAUACCGCAUAAGCGCACGGUAUCGCAUGAUACAGUGUGAGAAACUCCGGUGGUAUAAGAUGGACCCGCGUCUGAUUAGCUUGUUGGUGAGGUAACGGCUCACCAAGGCGACGAUCAGUAGCCGGCCUGAGAGGGUGAACGGCCACAUUGGGACUGAGACACGGCCCAAACUCCUACGGGAGGCAGCAGUGGGGAAUAUUGCACAAUGGGGGAAACCCUGAUGCAGCGACGCCGCGUGAGUGAUGAAGUAUUUCGGUAUGUAAAACUCUAUCAGCAGGGAAGAUAAUGACGGUACCUGACUAAGAAGCACCGGCUAAAUACGUGCCAGCAGCCGCGGUAAUACGUAUGGUGCAAGCGUUAUCCGGAUUUACUGGGUGUAAAGGGUGCGUAGGUGGUAUGGCAAGUCAGAAGUGAAAGGCUGGGGCUCAACCCCGGGACUGCUUUUGAAACUGUCAAACUAGAGUACAGGAGAGGAAAGCGGAAUUCCUAGUGUAGCGGUGAAAUGCGUAGAUAUUAGGAGGAACACCAGUGGCGAAGGCGGCUUUCUGGACUGAAACUGACACUGAGGCACGAAAGCGUGGGGAGCAAACAGGAUUAGAUACCCUGGUAGUCCACGCCGUAAAC
rnacentral:rRNA from 1 species